GAUGAACGCUAGCGGCAGGCCUAAUACAUGCAAGUUGAACGGUGUCUUCGGACAUAGUGGCGCACGGGUGCGUAACACGUAUGCAACCUACCUUACAUUGGGGGAUAGCCUUUCGAAAGGGAGAUUAAUACCGCAUAAGACAGUAGCUGGGCAUCCAGCAGCUGUUAAAGAUUUAUCGAUGUAAGCUGGGCAUGCGUCCAAUUAGCUAGUUGGUGAGGUAACGGCUCACCAAGGCAAUGAUUGGUAGGGGAACUGAGAGGUCAAUCCCCCACACUGGCACUGAGAUACGGGCCAGACUCCUACGGGAGGCAGCAGUAGGGAAUAUUGGGCAAUGGACGCAAGUCUGACCCAGCCAUGCCGCGUGCAGGAUGAGGGCGUUAUGCGUUGUAAACUGCUUUUAUACAGGAAGAAACGACUCUUGCGAGAGGCAUUGACGGUACUGUAUGAAUAAGCACCGGCUAACUCCGUGCCAGCAGCCGCAGUAAAAC
rnacentral:rRNA from 1 species